rnacentral:tRNA from 4 species
GGUCCGGUAGCUCAGCUGAAUAGAGCAACUGCCUUCUAAGCAGUAGGUCAUUGGUUUGAAUCCAAUCCGGAUCACAA